rnacentral:rRNA from 1 species
AACGCGAAGAACCUUACCAGGUCUUGACAUCCCUUGACAACUCCAGAGAUGGAGCGUUCCCUUCGGGGACAAGGUGACAGGUGGUGCAUGGUUGUCGUCAGCUCGUGUCGUGAGAUGUUGGGUUAAGUCCCGCAACGAGCGCAACCCUUAUUACUAGUUGCCAGCAUUUAGUUGGGCACUCUAGUGAGACUGCCGGUGACAAACCGGAGGAAGGUGGGGAUGACGUCAAAUCAUCAUGCCCCUUAUGACCUGGGCUACACACGUGCUACAAUGGCGUAUACAACGAGUUGCCAACCCGCGAGGGUGAGCUAAUCUCUUAAAGUACGUCUCAGUUCGGAUUGUAGGCUGCAACUCGCCUACAUGAAGUCGGAAUCGCUAGUAAUCGCGGAUCAGCACGCCGCGGUGAAUACGUUCCCGGGUCUUGUACACACCGAG